GAUGAACGCUGGCGGCGUGCCUAAUACAUGCAAGUCGAGCGAAUGGAUUAAGAGCUUGCUCUUAUGAAGUUAGCGGCGGACGGGUGAGUAACACGUGGGUAACCUGCCCAUAAGACUGGGAUAACUCCGGGAAACCGGGGCUAAUACCGGAUAAUAUUUUGAACUGCAUGGUUCAAAAUUGAAAGGAGGCUUAGGCUGUCACUUAUGGAUGGACCCGCGUCGCAUUAGCUAGUUGGUGAGGUAACGGCCCACCAAGGCAACGAUGCGUAGCCGACCUGAGAGGGUUAUCGGCCACACUGGGACUGAGACACGGCCCAGACUCCUACGGGAGGCAGCAGUAGGGAAUCUUCCGCAAUGGACGAAAGUCUGACGGAGCAACGCCGCGUGAGUGAUGAAGGCUUUCGGGUCGUAAAACUCUGUUGUUAGGGAAGAACAAGUGCUAGUUGAAUAAGCUGGCACCUUGACGGUACCUAACCAGAAAGCCACGGCUAACUACGUGCCAGCAGCCGCGGUAA
rnacentral:rRNA from 1 species